CGUAGCGAAAGUUACGCUAAUACCGCAUACGAUCUAAGGAUGAAAGCGGGGGAUCGCAAGACCUCGCGCGAUUGGAGCGGCCGAUAUCAGAUUAGGUAGUUGGUGGGGUAAAGGCUCACCAAGCCAACGAUCUGUAGCUGGUCUGAGAGGACGACCAGCCACACUGGAACUGAGACACGGUCCAGACUCCUACGGGAGGCAGCAGUGGGGAAUUUUGGACAAUGGGCGCAAGCCUGAUCCAGCAAUGCCGCGUGCAGGAUGAAGGCCUUCGGGUUGUAAACUGCUUUUGUACGGAACGAAAAGGUCCUGGUUAAUACCCGGGGCUCAUGACGGUACCGUAAGAAUAAGCACCGGCUAACUACGUGCCAGCAGCCGCGGUAAUACGUAGGGUGCAAGCGUUAAUCGGAAUUACUGGGCGUAAAGCGUGCGCAGGCGGUUAUAUAAGACAGAUGUGAAAUCCCCGGGCUCAACCUGGGAACUGCAUUUGUGACUGUAUAGCUAGAGUGCGGCAGAGGGGGAUGGAAUUCCGCGUGUAGCAGUGAAAUGCGUAGAUAUGCGGAGGAACACCGAUGGCGAAGGCAAUCCCCUGGGCCUGCACUGACGCUCAUGCACGAAAGCGUGGGGAGCAAACAGGAUUAGAUACCCUGGUAGUCCACGCCCUAAACGAUGUCAACUGGUUG
rnacentral:rRNA from 1 species